rnacentral:lncRNA from 1 species
AAAUAUAAAACAAAAAAAAAAUCCUUAUUUUGCAUUUUUCUUUCUCUCUCGCUCUCUCUCUCUCUAAAAACGUCGAACGACGAACGACGAAGAUUUCACCGAAUCAGACGUAUAUCUGAUGGGUAUCAUCGGCCGACGUUGUUCCAUUGUUAGCUCAUCAUCUCCACCGCCUCUGGCUAUAUAUGGCGUCUCUGGUUGACCAAAUCAGCGUUGUUGGAUUACGAAAUGGGGACAGUUCACUAGAUGUCCAAAUUUCGAUAAAAAAUCGUGUUUGUGACAUUGAAAUCGGAGUCAUUGCGAGGAGUAAUCGGUAGUUGAAGGUAUGUUUUCGUAUUUAGUUGUGUUAAUUGAUGUGAUUUAGGAAUAUAGAAAUUAGGGUUCGUCGGAUCUGGGAAUUUACGGUUUCAAAAUUUAGGGAAAAGUUGUUAUUCAUUGUUAAGUGUUUAAUUAGGCCAAGUAGAGGGAUGUAUGAGUGUGUGGUUGAUUGUAAAGCAUGAUUGGUGAAAGAAACAAGUAUUGGUUCAUCGGAUUUGGGAAAUUUUAAAUUGUUUGGGGAAAAUUGUUUAUUGGAUGUUAAAUCUAUAAUUAGGGGAAUUCUAAGCAUGUUUGAGUGUGUGGUUGAUUGUAAGUCAUGAUUGGAACUGGGAACUACUCUUCCUUAAACCCGAUUUUUGAUAGUGUAUUUUUUUCUUAGGUGUGGUCAAUUGUUACAUUAAUAGUCUGUUGGAUCUUAAUUGUAUUCAUGAAUAUCUUGUUGUUUGCAUGAAAAUUAGGUUUAUUUGAGAUGUUUAUGCUUGAAAUGUUAGUUGAUUUGGUUUAUGUUGAUCUUGAAUUUUAAUGAUUGUUCUCUGUUUUAUGUGUGAGGUAUGGUGGUCAUUGGAUAUUGGAAAUGCUGAGUGGAGAUAUUAUCAGAGAAGUGAGAGGAGGAGUAUCAACAAUCAAUAUUGUUCAAUGCUUGUAUGUUGUUCAUUAGGUCUAGAGUUAAGUUUGCUAUUAAAUGCUAACCACAUAUGUACUUAAAACCCCAUUCUUAACCUAACUCUAUAUGAAAACAACUCAACUUUCAUUCUCUUUGCCUAAAAUCGAUUCUCUCUUUCACUAUAACAUAACAUUACUUUCAUUCCUUUUCAUUCUCUUCUCCAAAUGAAUCCAUUUGGUAACUCUUCUGGCUUCAUUGAGCUAUUAAACAGUCGACAAGCAUCCCCUACCUUUGAGCCCAUUAACUUUGAUAAUGCAUCACCAAGUAUUAGACUUGGUGAAUAUGAAAUACCCUUCUUCGGCCCCCAAUCGUCUGAACCUCCUACUGAAGGUGACAGCCGCACUGUUAAAGGCACAUCAAGAAAGAGGAUUACUUGGACUUCCCAAUAAGAUUUGGUGUUGAUCUCGGCCUGGUUAAGCACAUCCAAAGAUGUCAUUGUAGGCAAUGAGCAAAAGGGAGAAGCCUUCUGGAAGCGGAUUGCAGCAUAUUAUGCUGCAAGUCCCAAUGUUUUUUCUCUGAAAAAGAGAGAGCCAGGCCACAUUAAACAAAGAUGGGCAAAGAUUAAUGAGUAUGUUUGUAAGUUUGCUGGAUUUCAUCAAGCUGCAACAACUCAGAUGGGUAGUGGUUGAAAUGAUGAUCUCAUUAAGCUAGCCCACCAAAUUUAUGAUGGUGAUCACAAGAAGAAUUUCAACUUGGAGCAUGCUUGAGAACCUCAAGACAUGAUCAGAAGUGGUGCUCAUUACAGACUUCUAGAGUGAUUGAGAUGAGUAAGAGAAGAAAGGGUGAAUCCUUUUCUGUAUAUUCAUCAUAAGCUUUCCAAGGCUCUGCAGAUUCUGAACCUUGUCAACAAAGACAACCUGGUGUAAAGGCUGCCAAGGGGAAAGGAAAAAGAACUGCCACAAGUUCACCAAGCGUGGAAGCAUGGGGGCAGUCAAUGGACAAGGUUCAGAACUUGUGGGACAUAAAACAAGCGCAUUUUGCUUUGAAACAACAAGAACCUGCUUUGAAUGACAAACUUAGUAACAAGAAAUUCCUUAAAACGUUGCUGGCUAAAUCUGAUCCUCUAACUAACAUUGAGGAAGCACUAAAAACCAAGCUAAUUAGGGAGAUGUUGCUUUGAAUGUUUUGAGGAAGCACUUAAAACCAAGAAAUUGCUUAUUGUUUUGGAUGUGUUUAUGUAUUAUGUUUGAACUAGUUUGUGUCUUUAAGUGAUUCUCUGUAAACUUAGUGUAUUAUGUUUUGUAGAUUCAAGGUUGACUAACUAUUUGUGUUUGCUUCUGGUUGUAGCUUCACGGAUGUGUUAUGUUUGUUAACAGCCACAAGAAAACUCUCAUGGACACAACAAGACAACUCUCAUGGACAGCCGCAGCAUUUCUCUUCAUGGACACAACAAGACAACUCUCAUGGACAGCCACAAGAUUGAAGCUUCACGGACAGCACAAGACACCAGAACACUUAUAUUUUGAUAGUCUUGCUAUAUAUAUGGCCGUGUAAUCUAUAUUUAAGACAUUCUCUUUUCUUAUCUGAAUGCAUUCAUGUCAUCCUCUUUUGUUAUAUUUUCAAUUCAUUCUCUUUUCUUAUCUAAAAGUCAUUCUCUUUUCUGGUUAAAGACGUAAAACAAAUAAUCCAAAC